CACCUGUGAAUCCUGUAGGUUUGCUGCUGCAUCUAGAGUUGAAAUCGCUUUGAAGAGAGUCUCAAAUAAUCACCUGGAGCAGUUUCUCUGACAGGUCUGUGAAAGACACAGAGUCAGUCUUCAAGUGCUAAAUCACUUCAUGACAAGUUAUAGAAACACGACCCCUCGCGAGCGUCCACCGCCAAGAACACGCACGGGGACGCGCGCAGUGCGAAUGUAAUACUGCUGUAUGGCCACAAGAUUUAACAUCCUGUGCAUUUGAAAUGAUAGAAGGACAUGAAUGGACAAUGUCUUGCCCUACAUUGCAGGGAGUGUGUCCCCAUUUGUAGCAUCAAAAGGACAAACCGUCGGUGGUGUAUCCACACAUCAUGGGGCUUUGGAAGCUGAAAAGAAGCCCCAUGAUUAUUUACUUUGAUAUAAAAUUAGCUGCACAUCCUUUUGCUGAAGUUAAAAAUAAAC
ensembl:lncRNA